rnacentral:lncRNA from 1 species
CAAAGUUAAAAUCUCGAAAGGAAAUCGAUUUUCAGUGCAUUUGUAACACCCUCUAACCCUUAUCCGUCCCCGGAACAGGAUUAUAGGGCAUUACCGGUCUGUACAUUUCAAUUAUAAUCAUUUAUUAAAAAUAAAUGUUUCUAACUCUACAAAUUAAAACUUCAACCAAUACAAUUUUCUAACAUUCAAACAAUCCAAAUACACUUAAAUAUGCUCAAAUCUUACCAAUCUAAAACAUUUUAUAACCUAUCCAAUUAAUCUUUUUAAGUAUAUCACUUACUAUAUCAAUUAUUUCAACUUCAUACUAUAUACCAUUAACAACCAUAGUUUACUUAUUUCAUCAAGACUUUCACAACCUAGAUGACUCUCAUAAGACGUCCUAGGUACAUGUCAUUACCAAUACUCAACAUGCUUUACCUCAUUGAAUUCGGGAUCGGCCUGGGAUGUUAAUUCAACGGUCUAGCCUUAACCUGAGCACGGAAACAAACCAUACGCUGAGUAUACACUCAGUGGUAUUUCUAUAAUCCGAACACUUAAAUAAUUAUAAAAUAUAUUAAUUUAUAUAUAUAUUGAACUAUUCAAACUCAAUGAGUAUUCAAACAUUCACUUUCCAAUCAAUGUUUUGAUCUACUUUAAAUUCAAAAUCAUUUAUUAUUUUUCAAUAGCAAUUAAUCAAUCAGUAAUAUUCAUUAACAAUCAGUCAAUCAGAACAAUUACUUAUUCAGUAACAGUCAGUUAUUCAGUAACAAUCAAUUAUUCAAUAAUAAUCAGUUAUUCAGUAUCGAUCAAUUGAUUGGUUAUCCAGUAACAGUCAAUUAUUCAGUAAAAAUUAGACAUACAGUAACAAUUAAAUUAUUCAGUAACAGUCGAUCUUUCCAGUUCCUUUAUUUACUCCUAUUAACAUGACUCGGACCUAGACAGAUACACGGAUCCAACCAACACACCAAAACAGCACAUAGUGCCUUAUCGGCCGAAGCCGGAACAGUAAUAGUAACAGUAGCAGUACGGUACAUAGAGUACCUCAUUAGAACAAAUCUGGAACAGUAACAUUAACAGUACGGUACACAGAGUACCUCAUCGGAACAAAUCCAAAACAAUAACAGUAACGGUAACAGUAACAAUAUCAGACACACAAAGUGCCGAAUCGGUAAUAGUAACGGUAACAGUAACAGUAGUUGGCACAUAAGUGCCUGAUCAGUAAGCCGGCAAAACUCGUACUCUUCCAUAUCCUAUGGCAUGCCAACUAUAUCCGACUAGCCCAACUAGUUAAUAGGGUAUUUAAUUCACUUUUCAGUUUUCAAUUAAUUCAUAUUUUAAUUAAUUAACUAUAUAUUUUCAAUUCAAUAUAAUUUAUUCACUUUUCACUAAUAAAUAUUCAAUUUCACAAUAAUCACAAUUUUCUAUCAAUUUCAUGACACUUCCAACUACAUAUAUUUUCCAAUAUAACAAAUAUUUAUUAUUUAAUUUCCACAUCAAUAUUCAUUUCAAUUCAAACAUUCACAUAUAUUCAUAAAUUAAUUCAAUAUAAAUUUAUCACACACUAAAUCAAUUCAUUUCAAUUAUGAAGACACAAUGCAAAUAAUUCUCAUCUUAACUAUUUAUCAUAACAUUUAUCCAAAAUUCAAUUAUCAUAAUUGCACAAUAUCUCAUUCACACACAUAUAUAUAUAAUAUAAUUCAAUUUAAUUCAAUCAAUAUAAAUUCAUCACAUACCAAAUUAAUCCAUUUUCAUUAUAAACACAAUAAUUCUCACUUCAACAUUUAUUAAAUGCAUUGAAUAAAAAAAUAUAACAAUUAAUAACUAGGUUCGAAUUAUAAAAAUACAAACCGUAUUUCCUCGAGUUAACUCCCGUUGUCUUUGUCAUUUUUCCUUGCUUAGUCGAAAUUUCCCGAGACAACGUUAGCUAUGGGAAUUAAAACAAUUCAUAUUCGUUAAUUCACUACUAAUUUAUAUCUAAUUAAUACAAUUUCUAUUCAAUUUCUACUUUAAUUUCAAUUUAAUCUUAACUAAAUUCACUUACUUUUUCUAUCUCAAUUCAUACUUCAUUUCUAUUCAAAUUUUGUCCAAACUCAUACUUAACUAUUAAAUUUCUAGUAUAUUUUCCUAAUUUCAAAAUUUCAUCAAUUUAGUCCCUACAACAUAAAACUUAUGAAUUACUUUACAAUUCAAUCCUUAUUUCAUUUCUAACUUGAAUUUCUAUCAAUUUAACCCUUAUUUCAUCAUUUUACUCAACAUGAACAUUAUUUAGAAAUCUAAUAAUUUUCAAAACAUCAACUUAAUUUCAUCAAAAUCUUGUUCCAAAACUUUUAAAACAUCAAAAUUAAGUAAAAAAGACUAAAUUGACUUACCAAUUAAACUUCCAAACCUUGAAAUCUAAAUUUUUCCUUUUCUCCCUUUCUUUCUUUUCUUUCCUUCCCCUACUCUCUGUUUCGUUUGGCUUUCUGUUUCUAUUUCUAUUCUAUUCUUU